rnacentral:rRNA from 1 species
ACGAAGGGUGCGAGCGUUGUUCGGAAUUAUUGGGCGUAAAGGGUUCGUAGGCGGGAUUGUAAGUCAAGUGUGAAAUCCCCGAGCUUAACUCGGGACGUGCAUUUGAAACUGUGAUUCUUGAGUCAUUGAGAGGGUGGUGGAAUUGUUGGUGUAGGAGUGACAUCCGUAGAGAUCAACAGGAACAUCAGAGGCGUAAGCGGCCACCUGGCAAUGUACUGACGCUGAGGAACGAAAGCGUGGGGAGCAAACAGG